CUUCUAUGUUUUUCUCCUAUCGACAUGUUCUUUUUGUAGACGCCUUAUAUACUGCAGGUGUAUAGCGGGUCUGUACACGUGCCGGAUAUGCUUCCGCUGGUACCCGGGCGUGACAGCUAUCUUCUUGGAAAUAAUUGAAUGGUGAAGUUUUUUUUGACUGUCUAUGAUUUUGGAGACUUUGUGGAUGUGGAUUUAUAACAAAGUGGUUUUUUAUUAUUGGUAGUAGUCGGCUUUUUAAAAGAAUGAGUUUCCGUGUAGGAAAUAGUUUUCAAAUGGCUCUACAGAUUUAUUGAU
rnacentral:lncRNA from 1 species